rnacentral:rRNA from 1 species
GGAAAAGAAACUAACUAGGAUUCCCUUAGUAACGGCGAGUGAACCGGGAUGAGCUCAAAUUUGAAAUCUGGCGUCUUUCAGGCGUCCGAGUUGUAAUCUAUAGAGGCGUUUUCCGCGCCGGACCGCGUCCAAGUCUCUUGGAAUAGAGUAUCAAAGAGGGUGACAAUCCCGUACUUGACGCGACAACCGGUGCUCUGUGAUACGUUCUCAAUGAGUCGAGUUGUUUGGGAAUGCAGCUCUAAAUGGGUGGUAAAUUCCAUCUAAGGCUAAAUAUUGGCGAGAGACCGAUAGCGAACAAGUACCGUGAGGGAAAGAUGAAAAGCACUUUGGAAAGAGAGUUAAACAGCACGUGAAAUUGUUAAAAGGGAAACGAUUGAAGUCAGUCGUGUGGGAAGUAUUCAGCCGUCUCUGGCGGUGUAUUUGCUUCUCACGGGUCAACAUCAGUUUGAUCCGGUAGAAAAAGGCGGGAAGAAGGUGGCACCCUCGGGUGUGUUAUAGCUUCCUGUCAUAUGUGCCGGACCAGACUGAGGAACGCAGCUUGCAGCAAUGCCGGGGUUCGCCCACGUACAAGCUUAGGAUGUUGACAUAAUGGCUUUAAACGACCCGUCUU